AUGCGCGGGGGCGGGAGAGCUGUGCCUAUAGGAGGGGAGGGGGAGAGAAAAAACUUAGGAGAGUGCUUGUGCGUAUGCGCGGGGGUGGCCGGUGUAUGCUACGCAGCUGUCGUAGCCUCAGGGGUGAAGGGAAUCUGAGUGGGGUGCUCUAGCUUGUAGGGCACCUCGUGCCCCUGUGAACCAGGGUUCCCCCUGUUCUCCCCUCUGCCUGCUGUUGCCAUAGAAAAAGAACUAGCCUUUGCUCCCUUUCCCUUCUAAGCAACCUUCUGCCCAUAAUCCCAGUAGCUAGAAACACCCAAGCUGGGAUGCCUGGGAAACACCUCGACCCUGAGCACUGGUGCUGCACAGAGCAAACCAACCAACUGGAGCCCAAAGAAAAGCAAAGACCAUCCACCUCCCUGAAUGACGUGAACUCCCUGCAGGCUGUCAGAGGAAGACACUGAGACAGGGGGCACCGCAUGCUCCAGCAGCCAUGCCAUGUCAUGCCUACAGGGCUGCAGAGGUCCUGGGGCAGGGAAGCACAGCUGGAGCCCAUGCCUGCAGACUGCGCCUGCUCCAUGUACAGAUCUGGGGGUCCUGGUCCCCCCUGCCUGUGGGAGUGUGCGCGGCUCAUGAGGUCCUUCCAGUCCUACUCUUCUAGGAGUCUAUGACACAUUAAUUUCUUAGGAAGAUGUCUGAUGAAGGCGAUUGGUCAUCAGGUUACCUGGUGAAAAAUGUCUUGCAUUCAAAAGCUUGUCUAACUAUCCCAACUAUGCAGUUGGUCCAAUAAAAGAUAUAACACUACAAAA